CUGGAGGUAUCAGAAGUGCGAAUGCUGACAUAAGUAACGAUAAAGCGGGUGAAAAGCCCGCUCGCCGGAAGACCAAGGGUUCCUGUCCAACGUUAAUCGGGGCAGGGUGAGUCGACCCCUAAGGCGAGGCCGAAAGGCGUAGUCGAUGGGAAACGGGUUAAUAUUCCCGUACUUGGUGUUACUGCGAAGGGGGGACGGAGAAGGCUAUGUUGGCCGGGCGACGGUUGUCCCGGUUUAAGCGUGUAGGUGUGUGUUCCAGGUAAAUCCGGUUCACUUUAACACUGAGGCGUGACGACGAGGCACUACGGUGCUGAAGCAACAAAUGCCCUGCUUCCAGGAAAAGCCUCUAAGCAUCAGGUAACAUCAAAUCGUACCCCAAACCGACACAGGUGGUCAGGUAGAGAAUACCAAGGCGCUUGAGAGAACUCGGGUGAAGGAACUAGGCAAAAUGGUGCCGUAACUUCGGGAGAAGGCACGCUGACACGUAGGUGAAGU
rnacentral:rRNA from 3 species